CCCUGCCUAGCUCAACUGGAAAGAGCGCCAGACAUUUAAUCUGGAGGUUGCGAGUUCAAACCUCGCGGUGGGUA